UACCAGCACCCCGAGUGGUCGGGACGAUUAUUGGGCCUAAAGCAUCCGUAGCCGGUCCUGCAAGUCUUCCGUUAAAUCCAGCUGCUCAACAGAUGGGCUGCGGGGGGAUACUACAGGGCUAGGAGGCGGGAGAGGCAAGCGGUACUUUAUGGGUAGGGGUAAAAUCCGUUGAUCCAUAGAAGACCACCAGUGGCGAAGGCGGCUUGCCAGAACGCGCUCGACGGUGAGGGGAUGAAAAGCUGGGGGGGAGCAAAACCCGG
rnacentral:rRNA from 1 species